rnacentral:misc_RNA from 1 species
UUUCCGUAGGUGAACCCGCGGAAGGAUCAUUAACGCAAUAAUUAUUUAGCAUUCCGUGUUAUCCCAUUGUUUUAUUUACAAUGUUGCUACUAAUGGAUGAGUCUUCAUACCUCGUGUAUGAGUAACUUUCGUUAGCGUAAGAUUAAUUCAUGGCGCGAAAGUGAGAUGUCAAUUAUCAAAAUUCUGUUAGGUACAUAUCUUCUGACUAUCUUACUCCAAUAACAUAAAACUUCCAACAACGGAUCUUUUGAACCUUGCAUCGAUGAAGAAAGCAGCAGA